GUUCUUUUUGAUGACAGCCAUUCUGACAGGUCUAUUCUGCCCAGACUGGAACGCAUCAUCUAAUGCAGUUCUGAGCAUUGAAGGGAAAUCAUAUUGAAGAUUUCACCCUUGAAGUUAAUUGCGAAGUUUGCCGCAGAUGGCUAAUGAGUCAAAGACAAGAAGCCACAGAAACAGAAAAAAGAGCAAGCCGGUUGACUCUACAAGGCAAGCAGUGCAGAUGCUUCGGCUAUAACUUCAAAGACCAGCAGACUUGAGCUGUCCUAAGACCUACCUGCUCUCAAGUCACCGUUCACCUGAGCCACAUUCAACAGACAGACCUCCUCCUCCUCCUCCUCCUCUGAAAUCUUAAUAUGCCUGCUUUCUGGGGCUUCUGAUCACAGAAUGUUACUGCUGAAAAGCACUUCGGAGGCCAGGACUCUGGACAAACCUCUUUCACAGAUCAACAGUCCCAGAGAGGUUAAACAACUUGCCCAACUGUGCACUUGAUCUCAGAGUCAAUGAAGUGUUCGCCAGAGAGGAGGAAGUCCAGUAUCUUAGUUUUCUUUUUCUCUUUGCCAGAUCAGUGUAAUUUAGAUGGCACUAAAUAAAUACUGUGUGCUGAAUCUCAAAAAUAUUCAAAAUUCCAACCAUACCCCCCCAAAGAAAAUCACUGUGAAUGUCAUCUAAACAUGGAUAUGUGUAAGUACAUAGUCUUAAGAUAAAUUUACCAUGUUACAGGAGGUCCAGAAGCUAGAAUCAUUCAGACUUGUUCCAUAUCCCCUUGAUACUUAACAUUUAUCAAGUGCUUUGCAAUCUAAGUUACUCUUUCAUUUGGGUCUCACAACAGUUCCCAGGAAGUAAAGGCCAGGAAAACUUAAGACCUGCUUGUGUUUGGCCUGUAAGUAGAGAAUAUAGGACUUGGCCCAUGAGGCCAAAUUCACAGCCCUCUCCCCUAGACUGUGAUGCCUCAGGUGCCUAUAGACUUUCUUCAAAAACAAAAGCCUGUGCUGCUUUGACUCUUCCAUGGGAAAAAAAGAAAAUUAAAGAAACUAGCAUUUUUUCUUCCUUAACAGCGUGUUAAGGAUUACAAACCCCUGCCCUAUUGACCUACCAGGGCUUAAUGCAUACCUGAAACUCUUUCUUGCUCCAAAAGCUUAGUGUAAAGAUUGAAUAUCUGUUCCUGGACUUUGCACACAGAUCGUUUAAUCUUUUCCCUGCGGGUCACCAUGUAAGUGAGGUUCCGAACCUAGAACGUAGAGAAUAAAGAUUCUAAGUAAGCAAUACAUUA